rnacentral:rRNA from 1 species
UACGAAGGGGGCUAGCGUUGCUCGGAAUGACUGGGCGUAAAGGGCGCGUAGGCGGAUGGCACAGUCAGAUGUGAAAUUCCCGGGCUUAACCUGGGGGCUGCAUUUGAUACGUGUUGUCUUGAGUUCGGAAGAGGGUCGUGGAAUUCCCAGUGUAGAGGUGAAAUUCGUAGAUAUUGGGAAGAACACCGGUGGCGAAGGCGGCCUGCUGGGCAGUAGCUGACGCUGAGGCGCGACAGCGUGGGGAGCAAACAGG